GAUGAAGAACGUAGCGAAAUGCGAUAAGUAAUGUGAAUUGCAGAAUUCAGUGAAUCAUCGAAUCUUUGAACGCACCUUGCGCCCUUUGGCUAUUCCGAAGGGCAUGCCUGUUUGAGUAUCGUGAACACCUCAACUCUCAUGGUUUGCCAUGAUGAGCUUGGACUUUGGGGGUUUUGCUGGCCUUUGGUCGGCUCCUCUCAAACGGAUCAGCUUUCCAGUGUUGGUGGCGUCACGGGUGUGAUAACUAUCUACGCCUGUGGUUUUCUGCCAGAUAACCUUCAGCGAUGGAGGUUCGCUGGGGCUCAUAAAUGUCUCUCUUCAGUGGAGACAGCUUUUUGGACGUUUGAUCUCAAAUCAGGUAGGACUACCCGCUGAACUUAAGCAUAUCAAUAAGCGGAGGA
rnacentral:misc_RNA from 1 species